rnacentral:rRNA from 1 species
GAUCAUGGCUCAGAUUGAACGCUGGCGGCAUGCCUUACACAUGCAAGUCGAACGGCAGCGGGGGAGCUUGCUCCUGCCGGCGAGUGGCGAACGGGUGAGUAAUGCAUCGGAACGUGUCCUGUUGUGGGGGAUAACUGAUCGAAAGAUCAGCUAAUACCGCAUGAGACCUGAGGGUGAAAGCGGGGGAUCGCAAGACCUCGCGCGACAGGAGCGGCCGAUGU